rnacentral:rRNA from 1 species
UGUUGGCCGGGCGACGGUUGUCCCGGUUUAAGCGUGUAGGCUGGUUUUCCAGGCAAAUCCGGAAAAUCAAGGCUGAGGCGUGAUGACGAGGCACUACGGUGCUGAAGCAACAAAUGCCCUGCUUCCAGGAAAAGCCUCUAAGCAUCAGGUAACAUCAAAUCGUACCCCAAACCGACACAGGUGGUCAGGUAGAGAAUACCAAGGCGCUUGAGAGAACUCGGGUGAAGGAACUAGGCAAAAUGGUGCCGUAACUUCGGGAGAAGGCACGCUGAUAUGUAGGUGAAGUCCCUUGCGGAUGGAGCUGAAAUCAGUCGAAGAUACCAGCUGGCUGCAACUGUUUAUUAAAAACACAGCACUGUGCAAACACGAAAGUGGACGUAUACGGUGUGACGCCUGCCCGGUGCCGGAAGGUUAAUUGAUGGGGUCAGCGCAAGCGAAGCUCUUGAUCGAAGCCCCGGUAAACGGCGGCCGUAACUAUAACGGUCCUAAGGUAGCGAAAUUCCUUGUCGGGUAAGUUCCGACCUGCACGAAUGGCGUAAUGAUGGCCAGGCUGUCUCCACCCGAGACUCAGUGAAAUUGAACUCGCUGUGAAGAUGCAGUGUACCCGCGGCAAGACGGAAAGACCCCGUGAACCUUUACUAUAGCUUGACACUGAACAUUGAGCCUUGAUGUGUAGGAUAGGUGGGAGGCUUUGAAGUGUGGACGCCAGUCUGCAUGGAGCCGGCCUUGAAAUACCACCCUUUAAUGUUUGAUGUUCUAACGUGGACCCGUGAUCCGGGUUGCGGACAGUGUCUGGUGGGUAGUUUGACUGGGGCGGUCUCCUCCUAAAGAGUAACGGAGGAGCACGAAGGUUGGCUAAUCCUGGUCGGACAUCAGGAGGUUAGUGCAAUGGCAUAAGCCAGCUUGACUGCGAGCGUGACGGCGCGAGCAGGUGCGAAAGCAGGUCAUAGUGAUCCGGUGGUUCUGAAUGGAAGGGCCAUCGCUCAACGGAUAAAAGGUACUCCGGGGAUAACAGGCUGAUACCGCCCAAGAGUUCAUAUCGACGGCGGUGUUUGGCACCUCGAUGUCGGCUCAUCACAUCCUGGGGCUGAAGUAGGUCCCAAGGGUAUGGCUGUUCGCCAUUUAAAGUGGUACGCGAGCUGGGUUUAGAACGUCGUGAGACAGUUCGGUCCCUAUCUGCCGUGGGCGCUGGAGAACUGAGGGGGGCUGCUCCUAGUACGAGAGGACCGGAGUGGACGCAUCACUGGUGUUCGGGUUGUCAUGCCAAUGGCACUGCCCGGUAGCUAAAUGCGGAAGAGAUAAGUGCUGAAAGCAUCUAAGCACGAAACUUGCCCCGAGAUGAGUUCUCCCUGACCCUUUAAGGGUCCUGAAGGAACGUUGAAGACGACGACGUUGAUAGGCCGGGUGUGUAAGCGCAGCGAUGCGUUGAGCUAACCGGUACUAAUGAACCGUGAGGCUUAACCUU